rnacentral:rRNA from 1 species
CCUACGGGUGGCUGCAGUGGGGAAUAUUGGACAAUGGGGGGAACCCUGAUCCAGCCAUGCCGCGUGUGUGAAGAAGGCCCUCGGGUUGUAAAGCACUUUCAGUGAGGAAGAACGCCUGGUGGUUAAUACCCAUCAGGAAAGACAACACUCACAGAAGAAGCACCGGCUAACUCCGUGCCAGCAGCCGCGGUAAUACGGAGGGUGCGAGCGUUAAUCGGAAUUACUGGGCGUAAAGCGCGCGUAGGUGGCUUGAUAAGCCGGUUGUGAAAGCCCCGGGCUCAACCUGGGAACGGCAUCCGGAACUGUCAAGCUAGAGUGCAGGAGAGGAAGGUAGAAUUCCCGGUGUAGCGGUGAAAUGCGUAGAGAUCGGGAGGAAUACCAGUGGCGAAGGCGGCCUUCUGGACUGACACUGACACUGAGGUGCGAAAGCGUGGGUAGCAAACAGGAUUAGAUACCCCGGUAGUC